ACGGAAGGCAGCAGUGGGGAAUAUUGGGCAAUGGGGGAAACCCUGACCCAGCAACGCCGCGUGAAGGAAGAAGGCCUUUGGGUUGUAAACUUCUUUUAGAUGGGACGAAGAAGACUGUACCUGUCGAAUAAGCCACGGCUAACUACGUGCCAGCAGCCGCGGUAAUACGUAGGUGGCAAGCGUUGUCCGGAUUUACUGGGUGUAAAGGGCGUGUAGCCGGGUCGGUAAGUCAGAUGUGAAAUCUACGGGCUCAACUCGUAAACUGCAUUUGAAACUGCUGAUCUUGAGUAUCGGAGAGGCAAUCGGAAUUCCUAGUGUAGCGGUGAAAUGCGUAGAUAUUAGGUGGAACACCAGUGGCGAAGGCGGAUUGCUGGACGACAACUGACGGUGAGGCGCGAAAGCGUGGGGAGCAAACAGGGUUAGAUACCCUGGUA
rnacentral:rRNA from 1 species